rnacentral:rRNA from 1 species
GGGACCGGGAUGAACUAGCAUGCGAGUCAUUGUAGUAAUACAAGGCAGACGGCUCAGUAACGCGUAGUCAACCUACCCUAUGGACGGGGAUAACCUCGGGAAACUGAGAAUAAUACCCGAUAGAACAUUAUGCCUGGAAUGGUUUAUGUUUCAAAUAAUUUAUUGCCGUAGGAUGGGACUGCGGCCUAUCAGUUUGUUGGUGAGGUAAUGGCCCACCAAGACUAUUACAGGUACGGGCUCUGAGAGGAGUAGCCCGGAGAUGGGUACUGAGACACGGACCCAGGCCCUAUGGGGCGCAGCAGGCGAGAAAACUUUGCAAUGUGCGAAAGCACGACAAGGUUAAUCCGAGUGGUUUCUGCUAAAGGAACCUUUUGUCAGUCCUAGAAACACUGAUGAAUAAGGGGUGGGCAAGUUCUGGUGUCAGCCGCCGCGGUAAAACCAGCACCUCAAGUGGUCAGGAUGAUUAUUGGGCCUAAAGCAUCCGUAGCCGGCUCUGUAAGUUUUCGGUUAAAUCUGUACGCUCAACGUACAGGCUGCCGGGAAUACUGCAGAGCUAGGGAGUGGGAGAGGUAGACGGUACUCGGUAGGAAGGGGUAAAAUCCUUUGAUCUAUUGAUGACCACCUGUGGCGAAGGCGGUCUACCAGAACACGUCCGACGGUGAGGGAUGAAAGCUGGGGGAGCAAACCGGAUUAGAUACCCGGGUAGUCCCAGCUGUAAACUAUGCAAACUCAGUGAUGCAUUGGCUUGAUGCCAAUGCAGUGCUGCAGGGAAGCCGUUAAGUUUGCCGCCUGGGGAAGUACGUACGCAAGUAUGAAACUUAAAGGAAUUGGCGGGGGAGCACCACAAGGGGUGAAGCCUGCGGUUCAAUUGGAGUCAACGCCGGGG